UGUUGCUUAGCUCAGUUGGUUAGAGCAUGAUGCUAAUAAUGCCAGUGUUGUGGAUUUGAUCCCCAUAUGGGCCA